CAUCAGAUUUCGAGGUAAGGAGUGCCCCCUGGAGUUGUGCAAUGCAAAAUUUGCAUAACCAUACACCACAGCUCUGCUUCUUGGUCAUGGUGCCCUGGGGCCAUCAAGAAAGGCUCCAGCGAUGUCCAGUGUUAAAGAAGGCAGGGAGCUGCAGAAGCAUUUUAGAAAGCUUUCUAUCCAACCUGAUAAAAAUGAAACAUCUUCAAUAUGAAGACAUUUGCCGAAAAGCUCACUGGUAGGGAUCUCCCACUUCCUGGAAGGAGCUGGUUGGGUGGAGUGUUGCUAUAAUGUUGCUUUCUCUGUACUCAUUUAUUAUCUAUACCGCAAGUUCCUCAGGGGCUAGGAUAAAUAUGGUUUAGGUUUCUGCACCCCCAGCAGAGCCUGGCAGGCUUCCAGGUGUUGGCUGACCAACUCCACGUGCUGAAGGAGGCCGUGGUCCACUAGCGGGGGGAGUGAGCAGCUCUGCUUCCCCACACCAAUGUGGAGAAGGUGCCUAUGAAUCCAGAGCAGUAUUUCCUAGCCCAGCAUUUUAGCAGAAUUUGUUCUCUUUACUGGAAAAAUGCCAAUUUCCCCCAGAAUCAUAGAUUUUAGGGCUCGAGAAGGCCUUUGCCUCUGUUCACUGAUUGCCUCUGCCUUUAGUUUCAGGUGGAGCUCGGGAGUGAGGUGUCUCUUGUUCUGUGGGUUUGCAACGUCGACCGCACAUUAGAACCACCCGAGGGGCUUUCAAUAACACUGACGCCUGAGUUCCAGCUCCAGAGGUUCUGAUUUAAUUGAACUAGGGUGCGACUGGGACAGUCAGAUUUUUAAAAGCUUUCUAGGUGCUUCUAAUGGCAGCCAAGGUUGCCAUUGUCAAGGUCAAGGCAGAGUGCGCUUGACCUGAGGCUACUUGACAAGGUGGCUGCGUGGCCACUCGUCCGUUAGCCCAGGGGCUCUCAACCUUGACUGUACAUGAGAAAUCACUUGGGAGGUUUAAAAAGCCCAAGUGCCCAAGGCCACCUCCCAGGCCAGUUCAUGGGCAUCUCUGGGGUGGAUGUAGGAAUAUUUAGACCUCCCAGGUGAUUGUAAGGGGCAGGCAAGGUUGAUAACCACUGGGCUAUCCAGCUCCACAGCCAAGCAGAUGGUGCCACAAUGCAAAGCUCACUCCCAUCUCGGCCUUCCGGGGUCCUCUGAAGAGACCAAGGCAAACGAGGAGAGACACAAAGAGGGUGUGUCCUUGGACUCUGCUUUGUCCUCGGUGGGAGAUGACACCAAGACCAGAACUGGUCCCAGACCAAGAUGUGACCUGUUUCUUUCUCCUACCAUGAAAGGUGGACGAACCCCCUUCUCAAGAUGCAAUCUGAGAGAGAAGCCUGGGCCCUGCCAGAAAUGCAAAUAGCCGAAACAAGAGUUGACCGGCAACAAGAGCCCACUCUCCAGCUAUUUCUUCAGGAUGUGAAUGCGCCCACGAGAACCACUCAGCGUGACCAGGGAACACCAGAGACUCGCACGUCUCCCUGUGUGAAGGCCUGCUGGCCUCUCCCCUCCUCCACUUCCUAGACCGAUGAGCCUUCUGGAGAACUGGAGUGUUUAUGAUGCAUUGGACUGACCAGCAUAGAACAAAUGAUUCACUUGGGAAAGGUCAUGCGACAUGCGCUGAGUCAGUCCAGACGUUGGCUCCAGAGACGCAGCAAUCAUGUGUUACAGCAUGUUCCCAUGUUUUCUGUCGAGAGACAUAUGUGGACCUCAGACCACAGCUGUGUAAACGUGGAGCUCAGACAUAACAGCAGCUCAUGAGCGCCGUGCAUGCCUGUCCUCGUGCUUGGUGCUUUCCGUAUGCACCUUGUCAGGUCAAUAUUCACAUCCCAACGUAGAGAUGAAAAGACUUGGAGGGGAAGGAACUUGCCCUCUGCCACCCAAGUUUCUUGUUAUAGGAUUGAAAUUAAAAUCUGGAUCUCCUAGGCUCCAGAACCCAUCUCACCAAUAGGGUGUAGGGUGAGUAGUGCUAUCCUUUUGUGGGCACAUCUGCCCAAAGACUGGGCGUUCCUCAGUUUUGAAUAACUACAGGCAGGAUGAUGUUCUGAACUGUGAAUGCAUAUGGUACAGAACAUACUCUUAAAUGAAUCACGCGUGGUUUUCAAAAAAAAAUUCUCUACCUUUGACUUAUACUGUGACAUGCAAGUUCAAAUGACUCCAACUCUAUGGUCACUGUCUCGUACAUAGCCUCACCUCCUUUGGUCCCUCUUUGUUCCUUUGCAAUCACUUGGCAGAACCACUAUCCAUCUCCUUACCUGUUCCACACCUGCACUGGUGCACCUGCAUGUGGCUGGAGGAACCUACAACCGUCAUGUUAAGUGGUCGCCCUCGAAAUUCCGAUUGUUAUUCUCACACGGGCCCUGACAUGCUGCCCAAACAUUACCCCCAUUUCCUGAGGCCUCCUACUCAGUUUCACACCUUUUCCUUCCUCCUUUAACCAGUUACCUGCCUCUUGCCCAAAUGCACCGACUUCUUCUGUUAUUGUGUCCGUCCUCCUGUCUCGAGCCACCUUUCCCACGUGUGCACGGCCUCCAGUAAAAAUAAUGCUCACCUCUCCCCCUUUCUCUCCGGCAUCCUUCAUUUUUACUUUUCUACUGGAUCUCUCCUGUCAGCGAGAAAACAUGUUACGUCUUCUGUUUUAAAAACAAUCCCUCCUGGCUGGCAGCUCUUCCUUCUCUCCUCGCUCUUCAGAUUGCAGAGUCCAGCUCUCAUCUUGGGCUCUCUCUAUUCAGCUGCCCUCACUUCCCUACUGACUUUCAACUCUACAUUUUCAGGUCAGACUUUUAUAUAUCUAAUCGCCUUACAGGAAUCUCCUUUCAGAUGGGUGACAGGUAUCUCUCCUGAUCCCCAACCCAACCCCCAACACACAUGCACCUACACACACAUUUCCUGCUUUGUCUGCCGUCUUCCCAUCUCUCUCAGUGGCUCAGGCCAAAGACCUCGGAGUCACGCUUGACUUUUCCUUUCACAUCCCACUAAUCAGCACGUCUUGUUGGCACUGCCUUCAAAAUCUAUCCGGAACCUGGCUGCUUCUUGUCUCAUCCCUGCUUGCUAGUCCCCUGGUCCAAGUCCUCAUCACCUGUCCUACUGGCGUCUCUGCUCCCAUCUUUGGCUUCCAUCCUCCUUCUGUUCUUAACACAGCACCUAAAGCGAUUCUGCACAAACAUAGGUCAGGUGAUGUCCCUCCUCAGCCCAUAACCCUCGAUGGCUUUCCAUCUCACGCAGAGCAAAAGCCAGAUUUUCAAAUGGGCCCUCGGUGCUGCAUGACCUGACUUCUCCCUAUGUCCCUGAACUCGUCUGCUGCUCUCCCCUGGCUCAUGGCUGCUCCAGCCACACGCCUCCUCGCUGCUCUUCGAGCACCCCAGGUGUGCUCCUGCCACAGGCCUUUGCGCUUCUGUUCCUUCUGCCUGCAAUACUCUCUCCCAGAAACUGCAUCGCUCACUCGCAUGUUUGCUUCAGGUCUUUAGUCGCCUCCUCAGGGAGGCCCUCCCUGACUGCCGUAUUUAAAAUUAUAAUCCUUGAUACCCUCUAACCCGU